rnacentral:rRNA from 1 species
GACGAACGCUGGCGGCGUGCUUAACACAUGCAAGUCGAACGGACAGUCCCUUCUUUUGUGGGGUGCUCGAGUGGCGACCUGGUGAGUAACACUUGAGUAACCUGCCCUUGACUUUGGGAUAACUUCAUGCCACUUGGGCUAAUACCGGAUAGGAGCUCCUGCUGCAUGGUGGGGGUUGGAAAGUUUCGGCGGUUGGGGAUGGACUCGCGGCUUAUCAGCUUGUUGGUGUGGUAGUGUCUUACCAAGGCUUUGACGGGUAGCCGGCCUGAGAGGGUGACCGGCCACAUUGGGACGGAGAUACGGCACAGACUACUACGGGAGGCAGCAGAGGGGAAUAGUGAAAAAUGGGCGGAAGCCUGAUGCAGCAAAGCCGCGUGCGGGAUGAGGGCAUGCGGGUAGUAAACCGAUGUCGCCUGUGACGAAGCGUGAGUGACGGUAACGGGUAAAGAAGCACCGGCUAACUACGUG